rnacentral:rRNA from 1 species
AACGCACCUUGCGCUCCUUGGUAUUCCGAGGAGCAUGCCCGUUUGAGUGUCAUGGUAUUCUCAAUCUAUCUGGUUCUGUUAAAAGAACUCAGUUGGACUUGGAUAUGGAGGUUUCUUGCUGGUCUUCAUAGAUCGGCUCCUCUGAAAUGCAUUAGUGCGUCUUGUUGCGACGUGCGCCUCGGUGUGAUAAUUAUCUACGCUGUGGUGUGCUUGCUUCUGUGGAGACGCGCUUUCAAUCCGUCCGAAAGGACAACUUUCAUCGAACUUUGACCUCAAAUCAGGUGGGACUACCCGCUGAACUUAA